rnacentral:rRNA from 1 species
UUCUAAGGUUGACCUCGGAUCAGGUAGGAUUACCCGCUGAACUUAAGCAUAUCAAUAAGCGGAGGAAAAGAAACCAACAGGGAUUGCCCCAGUAACGGCGAGUGAAGCGGCAACAGCUCAGAUUUGGAAUCUGGCCUUCGGGCCCGAGUUGUAAUCUGGAGAGGAUGCUUCUGGCGCGGUGCCUUCCGAGUUCCCUGGAACGGGACGCCGGAGAGGGUGAGAGCCCCGUACGGUUGGACACCUAGCCUCUGUGAAGCUCCUUCGACGAGUCGAGUAGUUUGGGAAUGCUGCUCAA